GGAUGAACGCUAUGUCUACAGGCUUAACACAUGCAAGUCGAGGGGCAGCAUGGUCUUAGCUUGCUAAGGCCGAUGGCGACCGGCGCACGGGUGAGUAACGCGUAUCCAACCUACCUUACACUCUUGGACAGCCUUCUGAAAGGGAGAUUAAUACAAGAUGUUAUCAUGAGUAAGCAUUUUCGCAUGAUUAAAGGUUUACCGGUGUAAGAUGGGGAUGCGUUCCAUUAGAUAGUAGGCGGGGUAACGGCCCACCUAGUCUUCGAUGGAUAGGGGUUCUGAGAGGAAGGUCCCCCACAUUGGAACUGAGACACGGUCCAAACUCCUACGGGAGGCAGCAGUGAGGAAUAUUGGUCAAUGGACGAGAGUCUGAACCAGCCAAGUAGCGUGAAGGAUGAAGGUUCUAUGGAUUGUAAACUUCUUUUAUACGGGAAUAAACGAAUCCACGCGUGGAUUUUUGCAUGUACCGUAUGAAUAAGGAUCGGCUAACUCCGUGCCAGCAGCCGCGGUAAUACGGAGGAUCCGAGCGUUAUCCGGAUUUAUUGGGUUUAAAGGGAGCGUAGAUGGGUUGUUAAGUCAGUUGUGAAAGUUUGCGGCUCAACCGUAAAAUUGCAAUUGAUACUGGCAGUCUUGAGUACAGUUGAGGUAGGCGGAAUUCGUGGUGUAGCGGUGAAAUGCUUAGAUAUCACGAAGAACUCCGAUUGCGAAGGCAGCUUACUAACCUGUAACUGACAUUGAUGCUCGAAAGUGUGGGUAUCAAACAGGAUUAGAUACCCUGGUAGUCCACACGGUAAACGAUGAAUACUCGCUGUAGGCGAUAUACAGUCUGCGGCCAAGCGAAAGCAUUAAGUAUUCCACCUGGGGAGUACGCCGGCAACGGUGAAACUCAAAGGAAUUGACGGGGGCCCGCACAAGCGGAGGAACAUGUGGUUUAAUUCGAUGAUACGCGAGGAACCUUACCCGGGCUUAAAUUGCAACCGAAUAUGGCGGAAACGCUAUAGCUAGCAAUAGCGGUUGUGAAGGUGCUGCAUGGUUGUCGUCAGCUCGUGCCGUGAGGUGUCGGCUUAAGUGCCAUAACGAGCGCAACCCUUGCCGAUAGUUACUAACAGGUAAUGCUGAGGACUCUGUCGGGACUGCCAUCGUAAGAUGUGAGGAAGGUGGGGAUGACGUCAAAUCAGCACGGCCCUUACGUCCGGGGCUACACACGUGUUACAAUGGGGGGUACAGAGGGCUGCUACCACGCAAGUGGAUGCCAAUCCCAAAAACCUCUCUCAGUUCGGAUUGAAGUCUGCAACCCGACUUCAUGAAGCUGGAUUCGCUAGUAAUCGCGCAUCAGCCACGGCGCGGUGAAUACGUUCCCGGGCCUUGUACACACCGCCCGUCAAGCCAUGGGAGCCGGGGGUACCUGAAGUGCGUAACCGCAAGGAGCGCCCUAGGGUAAAACUGGUGACUGGGGCUAAAA
rnacentral:rRNA from 1 species